GUUAUUUUGGCAGAUUAGUGCAAUAGAUUUAGAAUCUUUUUAUGUAAAGUUAUUUACAGAUAAUA
rnacentral:tRNA from 2 species